UACGUAGGUGGCAAGCGUUGUCCGGAGUUAUUGGGCGUAAAGCGCGCGCAGGCGGUCCUUUAAGUCUGAUGUGAAAGCCCACGGCUCAACCGUGGAGGGUCAUUGGAAACUGGGGGACUUGAGUGCAGAAGAGGAAAGCGGAAUUCCACGUGUAGCGGUGAAAUGCGUAGAGAUGUGGAGGAACACCAGUGGCGAAGGCGGCUUUCUGGUCUGUAACUGACGCUGAGGCGCGAAAGCGUGGGGAGCAAACAGG
rnacentral:rRNA from 1 species